rnacentral:rRNA from 1 species
UACGGGGGGGGCAAGCGUUGUUCGGAAUUACUGGGCGUAAAGGGCUCGUAGGCGGCCAACUAAGUCAUACGUGAAAUAUCCCGGCUCAACCGGGAGGGUGCACUUUAGACUGAUGAGCUUGAGGUCGGUAGAGGGGGGUGGAAUUGCUGGUGUAGCGGUGAAAUGCGUAGAGAUCAGCAGGAACACCCGUGGCGAAGGCGGCCCCCUGGGCCGUACCUGACGCUGAGGCGCGAAGGCUAGGGGAGCGAACGGG